GAUGAACGCUGGCGGCGUGCUUAACACAUGCAAGUCGAACGGGAUCGGCUGGAGCUUGCUCCGGCCGUGAGAGUGGCGAACGGGUGAGUAAUGCGUGACCGACCUGCCCCAUACACCGGAAUAGCUCCUGGAAACGGGUGGUAAUGCCGGAUGCUCCGACAUGACGCAUGUCGUGUCGGGAAAGAUUCAUCGGUAUGGGAUGGGGUCGCGUCCUAUCAGCUUGAUGGCGGGGUAACGGCCCACCAUGGCUUCGACGGGUAGCCGGCCUGAGAGGGCGACCGGCCACAUUGGGACUGAGAUACGGCCCAGACUCCUACGGGAGGCAGCAGUGGGGAAUAUUGCACAAUGGGCGCAAGCCUGAUGCAGCGACGCCGCGUGCGGGAUGACGGCCUUCGGGUUGUAAACCGCUUUUGACUGGGAGCAAGCC
rnacentral:rRNA from 1 species